CGAAGAAAGGUAUAAAAGGUAGGCACGACUGGUAAUACAGUUUUCCUGCCCUAAUUUUCCUUCGUGUCUAGUUUCCAAGAAAGGAGAAAGAGAGGUUAAAGACUUGGAAGUGGCUAUGUCUGCGCCAGAUCCUGAAGUGGAAGUAGCUUCGUCUUCUCAGAUGAAGGAAGCGUUGAUGGAUUCCAAAAUGGAAGGAGGGUAUGAAUGAGGAAAUAGAAGUCUUGCAGGAAAAUUAUACACGGCCCCUUAGGAGGCUCACCGGCAGCAGCAGCCCCUACGCCCAUUGGGAAGGAACAUAGAUCAUACAUAGAUGCUUUGCAAUAAUAAGUGACCAUAUUUUGUAUUGGGUUCAGCGAAAUGUGACUUCAGUUCAGUUGACCCAUAGCAUAGUGGUAUUGCAUUCGCUUCGUAAGCGAAAGGUCACGAGUUCGAUCCUCGUUGGGAGCUCAUCACAUUUUUUGCAAGUUUUGAUUUUCGUAUACUUUUUUUUAAUAAAACUCAUUCGAAGUAUUGUGAUUAUUUCCGCUAUGGCAGAACGAGCUUCAAGUAAGAAUGAUUGUCCUA